AUCUAAGCAACAGUGCCCCACAUCUGUGUCAACAUCUGACCUCCCACUCUGUCUUCUGAUGGACAGCACAGCCAAGCAAGAGCUGAUCUGCUAUUAAAUAUCUUGAUGAUUCUGCUUAUUUGUUUCAGUUUCUGCAGCAACAGCAUCCUGUGUCAUUUCCAAGCACAUUUAGCAAUCCCUUGCUGAAAGGAUUUUUAAAUUCAGUUUGUGGAUUUGAUGACAGGUAGAGGUUAAAAAUACCAUUUACUUACUAAUGCCAUUGUUUCCCUUUUCUCUCAGAAACCACAAUGAGGUAAUAAUUCACAAUAUUGUGUUCUGUAGUAACUCACAACUUUCUGUUCUGUACAAGUCACAGCUUUUUGCUCAUUGCUUUCUUGUAAUUACCAGGUACAUGGAUGCUGCAAACACUUUGGAACGAGAGACAAAAUUAGGUUUACGUGGCUUUGAAGUUUGUGACAACGUUGACCUUGAGACAAUUUUGAUGGAAUAUGAAAGCUAUUACUUUGUAAAAUUUCAAAAGUAUCCUAAAAUCACAAGGAAGGUCCUGGACACCGCAGAAAAUAAACAGCAGCUGGGAACUGGAAGAAGGCAAAGAAGGGCAGCGAGCUCUCAGAAUCUCCCAAGGAUCAAGCAGCAGCCGAUGCAACAACCAUCAUCAAAAACCUCAUUGGGGAGUACAGAACUAAAAUCACCCACCAAAGAGAGCCCCAAACAGAAUAAUGAGAGCACAGUAACUCUGGAGCAACCUGACUUUGGCUUAAGCAUCUCAGCAAUCAACAGAACUGGAGGAGGAGGAGAAGGCCCUCCCCCAAGAAGGGGCCAAGUAGUUGACUUGCAUGGGAUGGUCCAGGAUGUCAAAGUAUCCCCAAAUGGAGUAGGUUUAAACAGCCUUACUUGGGAUCCAGACCCAUCGGAACGCUUACUGAAACCCCUUAGUGCUUUUAUUGGCAUGAAUGGUGAGAUGAGAGAACUUGCAACUGUUGUAAGCAAAGACAUUUAUCUCCAUAACCCAAACGUGAAAUGGGAUGAUAUCAUUGGCCUGGAUGCAGCUAAGAGGCUCGUCAAGGAAGCAGUUGUUUAUCCUAUAAGGUACCCUCAGCUAUUUACAGGCAUUCUGUCUCCAUGGAAAGGCUUAUUGCUGUAUGGACCACCAGGUACUGGCAAAACAUUGCUUGCUAAGGCUGUUGCCACAGAGUGCAACACAACAUUUUUCAACAUAUCAGCAUCCACCAUUGUCAGCAAAUGGAGAGGUGAUUCAGAAAAGCUUGUCCGGGUGCUGUUUGAGCUUGCCCGCUACCAUGCUCCUUCCACAAUUUUCUUGGAUGAACUGGAGUCUGUGAUGAGCCAAAGAGGCACCAUCUCUGGUGGUGAACACGAAGGAAGUCGGCGGAUGAAAACAGAAUUACUGGUGCAGAUGGAUGGCUUGGCCAGAUCUGAUGAUCUUGUAUUUGUUUUAGCAGCUUCCAAUCUGCCAUGGGAGUUGGACUCUGCCAUGCUGCGGCGGCUGGAGAAGAGGAUUUUGGUUGACCUCCCAAAUCAAGAGGCACGGCAGGCAAUGAUCCAGCACUGGCUGCCACCUCUGAGCAAUGGUGGAGGAGUGGAGCUGAGAACCGACCUGGACUACAGCUUGCUGGGCCGGGAAACCGAUGGGUACUCUGGCUCAGACAUCAAACUUGUGUGCAAGGAAGCAGCCAUGAGACCAGUGAGGAAAAUUUUCGAUGCCCUUGAAAACCAUCAACCAGGUAACAGUAACUUAGCUACAAUCCGCUUGGACACGAUCACAACAGCAGAUUUCCUGGAUGUGAUCACCCACACCAAACCUUCAGCAAAGAAACUCAGCCAGAAGUACACAGCUUGGCAGAGAGAGUUUGAAUCGGUCUGAGAAGAAAAAUCCCCAAAGACUGAGUACUUCAAGGACUUUCACUAUCCAAAAUGGCAGUUGUGUCACCUCCAAAGGACUGAGUGGUGAUGGAGAAGGGAGUGCUGAGUUUCUAGGAGAAGAGAAACCAAUAGAAAAUGUCAAAGGACAUGAAAACUCCAGCCUAAACUUCAAGUAUAAAGAUCUAAAGAUGGAUUGCUUUUCAGUCCUUAUUCUCAGUAGCUGUUUACAGGUUUGGAGUCCAAGAACCGGAGCAGGUGAUGAGGGUAACCCUCCUUUCUGAGACUCACUAAAACAUCACAAUCACCACAGCUCUGCAGAAACCUGUGUGCCUUUUUAACCAAGCCUAAGAUUUUACUUAAGAGAUCUCUCACCUCCCUGACCUGACUUGGACUGCAGUCCACAAACCUCCUGUAUGCAGUCCACCAACAAACGACACA